CAUGGAAGAAACUGAAAGCUGGAGAACUGCUGGGCAGAGAUGUAGAGGAUGUCUCUAGUGGUCUCCAAGUCAGCACUAGCCAGAGAUGACGGCUAUGGACAUCAGAUUGUCUCCAAGAGAAGUGAAUCUUCCUCCUGGAUUUUCUGGAAACUGGUCUGUAACAGAUUUGAGAGGAGUAUUGUAUCCUGACGAAGAACGUGGACUGUAGAAUCUGAGGCCUGAGUUGGGAUCUGAACUCCAUCCCUUAUGGAGCUGCAGGACCUUGGGCAAGUGACAAUAUUUCUCUGCUGCAGGUUUCCAAUCUGAAAGAAAAACCACCCACUUCAUUUAAAGAGCUAAUGUGUUUAAUCACACAAAAAUGUCCUUAUCGUGUGAUGUAUGUAUUAGUUGUUAUUGUUAGUUUUUGUGUAAUUAUCAAUACAACAGAUCUGUCUUUUUAAGUUGAUAUGACAAUGCCUCCUACAGAAAAGAAUUAAGUCUUUGAUAAACAUCAUCUCAGGAACAAAGUUGAAAUCUUCCUAAAUUAUAAAGGUUAUUACUAAAGGAGACCAAUUACUUGACCACUUGAAAAAUGUUGGUUAGAUUUUUUUGUGAACUUAUUUCAUUUCUAAAUACCAUUUAUAUAUCUUAUCUUCAGUUCAAAUGUGCCUUGAAUGGUCUUUGUUAAGGAAGAUGACUAACUUCUUGCAGAAGUUUAACAUCUUGGUACCCUUAGAAAUGAAUCUUGUU